rnacentral:rRNA from 1 species
AAGCGGUGGAGCAUGUGGUUAAUUCGACGCAACGCGAAGAACCUUACCAGACCCUUUGACAUGGGAAGUAUGGGCCGCAGAGACGCGGUCCUUCAGUUCGGCUGGCUUCCACACAGGUGCUGCAUGGCUGUCGUCAGCUCGUGUCGUGAGAUGUUGGGUUAAGUCCCGCAACGAGCGCAACCCCCGCCUUUAGUUGCUACCGGGUCAUGCCGAGCACUCUAAAGGGACCGCCGGCGUUAAGCCGGAGGAAGGUGGGGAUGACGUCAAGUCCUCAUGGCCCUUAUGUCCAGGGCUACACACGUGCUACAAUGGGCGGUACAGAGGGUUGCCAACCCGCGAGGGGGAGCCAAUCCCAGAAAGCCGUCCUCAGUUCAGAUUGGAGUCUGCAACUCGACUCCAUGAAGGUGGAAUCGCUAGUAAUCGCGGAUCCAGCAUGCCGCGGUGAAUACGUUCCCGGGCCUU